rfam:Triticum aestivum genome assembly, contig: Triticum_aestivum_CS42_TGACv1_scaffold_499927_6BL
CUACUACUCCCUCCGUCCGAAAAUACUUCUCAUCAAACUGGAUAAAAGGGGAUGAAUCUAAAUAUAUUUUAGUUUUAGAUACAUCUCUUUUUAUUUAUUUUGAUGAUAAGUAUUUCCGGCCAGAGGGAGUACAAC